UUUUUUGAGAGAUAGGUAGCUCACUACUGAUUUCGCUUAUUUUAUUUAGAAAUAAACUAACAUGUUCUUCAUAUCUUCUUUUUUUUUUUGAGAGAGAGAUAUAGGUAGCACGCUAUCCACUUCGUUUAUUUCAUUUAGAAAUAAACUUAGCUAGAAAUGUAAAUCAACUAGAAUUCGAACUUGGAACCUCGGGUACCAACCAUCAAGCCCUUUGCCACUUACUCUAUGGACGGUCGGUCAUAGUGAGUAAUACUAUACUUAUAAAUAAAUUCUAUAAUACUUUACACACUAGCAUAUAUAAUGAUAUCUAGGUUUUUUUUUUUUUGANGUAGCACGCUAUCCGUUUCGUUUAUUUCAUUUCGAAAUAAACUUAGCUGGAAAUAUGAAUCAACUAGGAUUCGAACUUGGGUCUCGAGUACCGACCGCCAAGCCCUUUGCC
rnacentral:lncRNA from 1 species